CAAUUGCUUGUUUUGCUUAGACUCGAGCGGCGACAGCCUUCUGUCUUUCGAACAGCUGACAAUGAUCAGUAGAAGAUCAUGACAUAGUCCAAGACAUCGGUGCAGCUCUUAACUCCCUGACCAGCGGCUGUGACGUUCUACCUCUUGCGCUUCACGAAUAGCAUUUUGAGGAACUUUUGAACACGACUGCUUCACGUUUAGUUGAUUCGAUGGUGAAUGGUGCACUGAAACAUGAGUACGGAAAAAUCUACUCCGAUUUCUGUAUGAAAUUACGCAGGAAUCGAGAGCUGGCACGGUUUUUCUGUACAACUGAAAAAUAGCAGGUCUGCACUGGCCACUUUAUUCAAUCACCAAUAGUCCACGCAACAUAAUCGUUGGGCUAAACGAAAACGUGCUAAGAAUUAAGCCCACAUCUAAAUGCCGUUCCUGUAGAGGGGUGUUUUUCGGCCACCUAGCUAGAGGCUAAAACUUGUCGCCUUACAAUGGAUCUGUCUGGACCCUUGGUUGCUGGAAUCAUAUGGACAACAAAAUCGACAGGAGAUAUUAUAUUUCGACAAUUCUGAUGAAGUGUUUGUUUGAUGAUGUAUAGCUCAUUCCUGCUGAUGUAGUCGAUCGAAAUAGCUAGCUUCGUCUAGACAUAAACGAGAAUUAUAAGAAGUGUUCGUAUGAGCCACUUAACGUAGAGUCGUGUCGCAAAUGAUGAGUUUCACAUACAUCAAUAGGGAUAAACAAAUGAAAAAAACUAAUUAAAACUGAGCGAUAGAACGAAGUCCAUUAUGUGAAUCAGAGUAGUUUGCUUCCAUCUGAAACUGGCCUCUGUACGGUCUUUC